rnacentral:rRNA from 1 species
UAAUAGCGUAUAUUAAAGUUGUUGCAGUUAAAAAGCUCGUAGUCGGAUGUCGGGCUCGGGGAGGCUGUCGGCCUUUGGUCGGACGGCAUGUCCGGGCCUUUCUGCCUGGGGAUCCUAUUCUACUUAACUGUAGGGUAGUGGGACGCAGGCCGUUUACUUUGAAAAAAUUAGAGUGUUCAAAGCAGGCCUACGCUUGAAUACAUUAGCAUGGAAUAAUGGAAUAGGACUUUGGUCUUAUUUGUUGGUUUAUGGGACCGAAGUAAUGAUUAACAGGGACAGUUGGGGCCGUUUAUAUUUCGUUGUCAGAGGUGAAAUUCUUGGAUUUACGAAAGAUAAACUUCUGCAAAAGCAUUAGGCAAGGAUGUUUUCAUUGA